AUUCGUCGUAGAGAAUACCCUAUUAGACAACGCCCUAACCUUUCUUUCCCGUCAAAUUGGAGUUUAGCCAAUGAUAUUUUAUUCUGGUGUCAUGUGACAUUGGUCACGGCUAGUCCGUGCCACAUUCACAUUGAACAGCAAGCCAUCAACACACGACAUAAUUCUCAACUAUUUCUUGAUUAUUUUUUCAUCUUUUCUGCGACGGUUACACAGGAUGAGGAAUUGUCAUUAAUACUCGGCAACCAGUUCGGUCCAUAGCCCACAGCCAAGGACCUUUAUUUGACGGUUGCCAAAUAAACCGAAUCCUACCCA